GCCGAGGUAGCCAAGCGGUCAACGGCGGUGGGCUCAAGAUCCACUCUCGUAGGAGUACAGGGGUUCGAAUCCCCUCCUCGGCACCA
rnacentral:tRNA from 1 species